UUCCAGCUCCAAUAGCGUAUAUUAAAGUUGUUGCAGUUAAAAAGCUCGUAGUUGGAUUUCUGAUUUGAAUGUCCGGUCCGCUUGUGUUAUCAUGAGUGCGUACUAUGUGAUAUUUGAUUCAUUUUUUGUGAGGAAAUUUAUCUGUCAUUAAGUUGAUGGAUUUACGGACUUGCAUCUUUUACUGUGAAAAAAUUAGAGUGUCUAAAGCAGGCGUUUGCCUUUUGAAUACAUUAGCAUGGAAUAAUAAGAUAUGACUUUGGUGGUCUAUUUUGUUGGUUUGCACACCAGAGUAAUGAUUAAUAGGGACAGUUGGGGGUAUUCAUAUUUCAGCGUCAGAGGUGAAAUUCUUAGAUCGCUGAAAGAUGAGCUUAGGCGAAAGCAUUUACCAAGGAUGUUUUCAUUG
rnacentral:rRNA from 1 species